rnacentral:rRNA from 1 species
CAGUAGUCACGUAGUUGAUCAUGGCUCAAGAACGAACGCUGGCGGCAUGCCUAACACAUGCAAGUCGAACGAGACCUUCGGGUCUAGUGGCGCACGGGUGCGUAACACGUGGGAAUUUGCCUCGGGGUAUGGAAUAACUCAGGGAAACUUGAGCUAAUACCAUAUAAUGUCUUCGGACCAAAGAUUUAUCGCCCUGAGAUAAGCCCGCGUAGGAUUAGCUAGUUGGUGAGGUAAAGGCUCACCAAGGCGACGAUCCUUAGCUGGUCUGAGAGGAUGAUCAGCCACACUGGGACUGAGACACGGCCCAGACUCCUACGGGAGGCAGCAGUGGGGAAUAUUGGACAAUGGGCGAAAGCCUGAUCCAGCAAUGCCGCGUGAGUGAUGAAGGCCUUCGGGUUGUAAAGCUCUUUUACUCGGGACGAUAAUGACGGUACCGAGAGAAUAAGCCCCGGCUAACUCCGUG